CACAGCUACGUAGUGGCCAUGCUGGUUUGCAUCAGCAAUGUAUCCGAUGUCCCGUCGUGUGCUGGAGAACAUCAAAGGCAUUCCUGGAGGACCUCUCCCCUCUUCUCAGUGCCAGGCCUGAGCCAGUCAAAGCUCUGAUCCUUCUUUAUUGCUCACUGUACUGGCCAGACUCUCCAGUACAAUGCUGAAUAGAAGCAUGAGCACAGACAUCCCUAUCUCCUUCCCGGUCUUCGUGGGAACGCAUUCAUCUUUGACCCUUAAAUAUGUUAGCUGCAGGUGUUUUGUAGAUGUUCUUUAUCAAUUGAGGAAGUUCUCUUCUGUUCCUAGUUUGCUGAAAGUCUUUUUUUUCUCUUUUUUACUUUUUCCUUUUUCAUACUCCUCAGUCAUCAUGAAAGUCUUAAAUAAGGAAUGGAGGUUGGAUUUCUUCAAAUGCUUAUUCUGCAUCUGGUCUCAAGUCUGCUGGCUUUUGGACUAGAACUUAUACCAUUAGCUCUCCUGGUUCUCUGGCCUCUGGACCCAGACUGAAACCACACCAUCAGCUCUCCUGGGUCUUCAGCUUGCUAACUACAGAUCUUGGGACUUCUCAGCUUCAAUAAUUGUGUGAGGUGAUUCCUUAUUUUAUUUAUAUCAUGCAUAUAAACAUUUAUAAUAUAUUAAUUCAUAAAAUAAAUAUGAAUUUCAUAUAUAUAUAUGAAAUUUU
rnacentral:lncRNA from 13 species